rnacentral:rRNA from 1 species
CCUACGGGAGGCAGCAGUGAGGAAUAUUGGUCAAUGGGCGCGAGCCUGAACCAGCCAAGUAGCGUGAAGGAUGAAUGCCCUACGGGUUGUAAACUUCUUUUACACAGGAAUAAAGUGAGCCACGUGUGCAGUUCUGCAUGUACUUUAUGAAUAAUGAUCGGCUAACUCCGUGCCAGCAGCCGCGGUAAUACGGAGGAUCCGAGCGUUAUCCGGAUUUAUUGGGUUUAAAGGGAGCGUAGAUGGGUUGUUAAGUCAGCUGUGAAAGUUCGCGGCUCAACCGUAAAAUUGCAAUUGAUACUGGCAGUCUUGAGUACAGAUGAGGUAGGCGGAAUUCGUGGUGUAGCGGUGAAAUGCUUAGAUAUCACGAGGAACCCCGAUUGCGAAGGCAGCUUGCUGAGCUGCCACUGACAUUGAGGCUCGAAGGUGUGGGUAUCAAACAGGAUUAGAUACCCUUGUAGUC